CAAAGAAAUACGCUUCGCUUCGCUACGAUACGAUUGAAGUGGAAAACAGGCUAAUAAGUCUAUUAUGAAUUUAAGAAACGUAGCUGGGAAUAUUCACAACAAACUUGGGAACCGUACCUUAAGAAUUGAAGAGUUAUUCAAUGAUAAAUAUAAUUCACUAUUGAUUAAUUUGGAUCAAGUAGGGUCAGUUAGGAACCAAAACACUAUUAGACCUCUAUUUAUAUGUACAUGUAUGUCUAGACGAUUUGCAAUUAAUGUUGUCUCUGUCUCAUGUACAAUGAAUGGACGUUUCGGUCAAAAUACUGUAGAAAAAGUGCUAUAAUAUAUACACAAGUUUCAUAUUAUUCUGACACUGCAAUCAACCAACGAAAAAUUCGUUGGUUCGAGCGGGAUUUGAACUCGGGAUUUGAUUUAGAUACCCGAAGAUGCGAGUUCAAAUCCCGCUCGAGCCAACGAAUUUUUGGUUGGUCGAUUGCAGUGUCAGAAUAAUAUGAAACUGGUUUUCGUAUCUCUGAGGAUGGUUCUGAAAAAGAAGUAUAUAUACAAGAUUAAUAAUUUGGCCUACACUAAACACAUGCUGGCGUUGUUCUUCGAGUAUUGCGGUAGGAAAACGAUCAUUUUUAAAUUUCUAAAAUAUUUUAUUUUUUGUACAAAUAGCUGAAAUUGUUUUGUACAAGUAGCUAUAUUUUUGCUAAAUUUCGACAAUCUGUAACGCAUUAUGUAUUUAUCUCACUCGUUUGAAUAAUAGUUGAAGGGUAUUGAUGUUAAUUUUCGAGUGCAAAUUUAAACGUUUAUUGCCAUUGGAUUUAACAUAAUUAGCCUUUCUCACGCCGCCACUUUUGGGGUACUCUAAUUUUUCGAAUGUCUACAAAAAAUUUAGGAAUAAACUUAACCAUUUGUUACGGAUUGCCAAACGUAAAUAUUAUGAAGGAAAACUUGAGAAUGCUAAAUCAAAUACCAAAAAUACUUGGAAGAUCUUAAACGAAGUACUAAAUAAGAAAC